rnacentral:lncRNA from 1 species
GUGUAAAUGACAACCAAUCUAUCACUUGAACCAGUGGGUUGAGCUUCAUGAUAAUCCUUUUCAGAAACUAUGUCCUGAAACUGACCACUCCCACUGAUUAAGUCAUUCUCGAGAAAUUUUGCAUUUCUUGAUUCCACAAUCCUAGUACUAUGAGAUGGACAAUAGAAUCUAUACCCUUUGGACCUUUCAGCAUAUCCAAUAAAAUACCCACUAAUGGUCCUUGGGUCUAACUUCUUCUCUUGUGGGUUGUAAAUUCUCACCUCAGACGGACAUCCCCAAACACGUAUAUGCCUCAAACUCGGUUUCCAACCCUUGAAUAACUCAAAAGGUGUCUUUUGGACAGCCUUGGUUGGAACUCGGUUUAAUAUAUACGUAGCCGUCUUUAGAGCUUCAGUCCACAAAGAUUCGGGGAGUUUCGAGUUACUCCGCAUACUUCUUACCAUGUCCAUUAAAGUUCAAUUUCUUCUUUCCGCCACACCAUUCUGAUCUGGAGAACCAGGCAUAGUGUACUGGGCAACAAUCUCAUGUUCUUGAAGAAACUUUACAAAUGGACCAGGCGCUUGUCCACUCUCUGUGUAUCUACCAUAAUACUCUCCACCUCUAUCUGAUCUCACGAUCUUAAUUUGCUUUCCACAUUGAUGGGUUUUCGAUAUCAUAUCGAGUGAAAUGUAUGGACCAAGUGGGAGAAUGUAAACCUUUGGUAUUUUUAAAUGGUCCAAUCAUCUUCCUCUUUUAUUGGAAGUUAUUCACCUUCUCACCUUCUCAUAACUGUCCAUCUUCCCUACUUUGUGGUAACCGUUCACGUUUCGUAACUUCUUUGAUGGGAAGAAGUAUAUAAAGGGAAUAAAGUGGUAUUGGUCCCCUAGCCGUGACUUUCAUGAAACUACACCAUCGCAGAGAGGUCUUGAAGGCUUGGAAGCACCAAACACAAUUCGAAAUUUUGCAGUUCAAACGACAAUGGCUGGAGGUUAGUUUAUGAUCUUCAGUUUCCGCAUUUGAUCUAUAUGUUGUUGUUUAUUCACAUGAUAGAUCGUGAUAAAGCUCUACAUGUAUUGCACAUUUCAUCGCGUGGGAGAGGUCAGUUGUUCCUUUUUAUUUUUAAUCUCGAUGAUAUUAACUAUAUGCAGUUUCAGCUUCAUUUAUUACACCAGUGUUUGAUUUCCAUUUUUAGUGAAAUACAUUUUUCUCUCUCUUCUUUUCAAUCACAUGUUUUUCAAUAAAAUAAUAUUACACACAAAUCAAAAAAAAAAAUUGUUCUUUUUUAACCACACAUUCUCCUUCAAAAAAAAGGAAUGUGGCUCAAACAUACCCUAUAUAACUUGAUGGUAUUCUUCACUUGUGAUUGUGAAUCUUCUGAUUCUUCACUGUGGUUUUGAAAUCAGUUUAUGUGGAUUCCUCUGUUUUGCUUAUUACUCUCACGUUGCCAUACAUGAAUGUUCAGGGAAACGGAUCUGUUCCUUGUUCCGUAUUUUGCUGACUGUGACUUGGAGUUAGUUCAGUGGCCUCCACUUUUGCUUGCUAGCAAGGUUUUCAUUAUACGUUUUAAGUCAUAACUCUUCCCUUUUGUUGAGGGAGAUUUUGGUUAAUUCCAUUUAAUCCCAAUGUUAACCAUCAAAUAAAAGCAAAUUCACCUCUUCUUUGCCCACCUUUGGCCUCAAUAAAUAUUUGAGGACAUGGUUUAUGGCUUUAAAUUGGUGGUUAAUAGAGUGAUUAAAGGAAGUUGAUAAAAAAUGCUGGAAUAUAACUGAAUCACCAGCAAGUUGGUUAUGUUGACCUAAUAUUUAUUUAUUUAUUUAUUAUUAUUUUUUUUUUUCCAUUACUCCUUGUGGGUUAUGUUGUGGAGUUGAAGGUGUUGAGGUAUACUUAUUUUUAUUUUUUUUGGGUCGUGUUUUAUUCAACUUGACGAGCUUGAGUGGCUCGUAUUUGUAAUAAUGACUUGUUACUAUAUGUGGAACAUAGAAACUGUUCAUUUUUUUAAUUUUUAUAGACAAUGUUUGACUAUCCUUCUCACAGGUCAAUGUAAAUUUUAGCCUGGUUCAGAGAAAGAAUAAAGGGAAUUAUUCUGAGCUUCAUCAAUGGCCACAUGUAUAGAGUUCAGGAUUAUGUUCUUAUUCGAUUUGACUAUGAUAGAUUGAUCCCUUCAAAGCUUCAGGUUGGAAAUUUAUCGAGCGUUUAUGAGAUUUUGGGGGACAAUAAUUUAUUUGAUAAUUUACUAUUGAUUUUCCCCCUUUUUGGCAGUUAGUUUAGUGUAGUUUGUACUAUUUGUUUUGGUUUUGGAGAUAAUUAAGUUUGUAAAUAAUACCUUUGUCACUGUUUAUUUUGGAUCAUUAUAAGUGUUUCGAGAUAAAU